rnacentral:lncRNA from 1 species
CAUGUUGAAGCAGGCUCCUCGGCAGGCAGUCUCAUUGUUUCUGCCAAUGUGUAUCGUGAUGUCGAUGUGGCGCUCCAUGAGACCAACUAGGUGAGAGUGAAGUUGAUGAUGAUGUUAUGCACGUCGCUGAUGUCAAUGAGGAUGUGCACAUCAUGUUCGAGGAUGAUCCUGCCAAAAACAUGGUGUACCAUCCGCGCAUGCUAGAGUUUUGGGUGAUGUCAAAGAGGUGCUUGCACUUGUGGCCGUGGGUCAAUUGCUCAUCACAGUUCAAGCAGAGUCCCAUGCAACAACAUUCUGCCAUCUCCUAGACGGCGAGGCGCUUGGAAGCGCGAGUCCUGGUCGUCGAUGGUGGUGUUAUCGCUGGUGCUGGUGCAACAACUGUAGUCAAAGCAGAAGAUGGCGCCUUCAGUAGUGAAGGAUGAGGUGAGGCACGAACAGGGUUAUAGUUGUUUUGGUGAGGACGGGGACGACUAAGGCACAUCACUUGCAUGCUCUGGCCAUCAACAUGGCCAUUACCAUACCCCGUGUUUGGAGCUCAACGUCUGUCUCAAGCAGCUCUAGCAAACUUACCAUGUAGCUGUUGACCUACUUCUACUCGUCGAUGGGGCCUGCCCGUGCCACAUGCGCCAAGAAUCUCUCGGUGUAGUUGUCGACAGUCCUUGUCUUGCUUAAGGAUGCUAAAACGACAACAUAGGGUAUACCCACGAUGGUAGAUUGUACGGAGUGAUGCGCGUGAACAGGAACUAGAUGGCAACAGAGACAAGGUUUAGACAGGUUCAGGCGUCAACUCAACGUAACACGCUAAUCCUGUGUUCUGUUGGUUUGUAUUAUAUGUAUGUGGGAUAAUGAGACGAUGAGAUCUGUUUCGAGGGGUCCCCUAUGCUGCGGCCCAUGUCUUGAUUUUGUGGCUAGACUGUCCCCGAUGGUGUGGCCCAUCUCUCGCGCCAUAAGUACCAAGGAUUAUACCCCCCACAAUUGGUUAGGUUGAAGAGUGGCUGCUACAAUUGUUGUAGUGGUAGCGCCUGCUGCUGUUUUGGUUGCGCCGCUGUGGUGACGGUGCUGGUGUGGCAACGAUGGGUAUAGGAACUGGCAGGGUGAGCACCAUUUGCGAUGCUUGCCCGCUGGGCAUGGUGAAGGUGAUGGUGCGGUCACCCUGCUGGGACCAUAUCUCCAGUGAUGCGAAGUUCUAGAGGAUGCUAUCGAGAUUGGUCAUCCAUGGCAUGCCAACGACGAUGUUGACGCUGAGAUCCACUAGGAAGGCGUCAAUCUGGAAUGUCUUAGUAUCGAUGUGUAGGGGCAUGUUGAAGUAGGCUCCUUAGUAGGUAGUCUCAUUGCCGCUGCCAAUGAGUAUCGUGAUGUUGAUGCGGCACUCCAUGAGACCAACCAGACAAUCGAAGUUGAUGUCAAUGAUGUUAUGCAUGGCCGGUGUCGAUGAGGAUGCACACAUCUUGUCCUAGGACGAUGCCUGCCAAGAACAUGGUCCGCCAUCCGCGCACACUAGAGUUUUGGGUGAUGUCAAAGAGGUGCUUGCACUAGAGGCCAUGGGUGACUACUCGUCACGGUUCAAGUUGUUGUAAUUAUGACACACACACACACGAGGGGUUUUGGUACUGUCGGA